AGAGUUGAAAAUUGAGAUUUUGAGACGAAUAUCUGAGAUUAUUUGGGUUCCGGGGGGUUUUAGGGGUGGUUUGGGGGGUUUAGGGGUCGGUAACGGUCGAGGAACCGCCGGUAACGGCGAUUUUGGGGCCAAUAACGGAGAUUUUCGGGGUUCCGUGUCCGGUAACGGCCGGGCCGUUCCGGUAACGCAGAUUUUGGGGUAAAAAUUGAGAUUUAGGGGUCCAUAACUGAGAUUUGGGGCGAAUAACGGAGAUUUAGGAGUCAAUAACAGAUAUUUGAGGUAAAUAACGGAGAUUUUGGGGGUUCCGGGACCGGCAACGGCCGGGCCCUUUCGGUAACGCAGAUUUUGGCAUGAAAUGUCGGAUUUGGGGUGAUUUGGGGCGGAUUCGCGGGAUUUCGGGAUUAUCUGGGGAAUUCGGGGCCGGUUUGGGGCAGAUUUUGAGGCAAUUUCGGGCCAAUUUUGGGGCAAUUUCGGAGUUUUUUGGGGUCGGCCCCGGCUGCCCCUCACGCCAAGCCCCGCCCCCUUCGGCCUCUGAUUGGCCGGGAGCUCAGCAGCGCCUCCGGAUUGGCUGAGAGCGGGGGAGUUGGAAAGGUGGGCGCGACCCGCUGGCGCCUCCGCUUCCCAUUGGCCGGUGGGGCGUCCCGCGGGAGGCGCUGAUUGGCUGCAAGGGGCGGGAGGGGCGGGGUUUGCCCUCCGGCGGUCACGUGGCGCGGGUGUCGCGCGGAGCGCGCGCGCGGAGCGGCCGCAGGUGCGCUCACCUGUCCCAGGUGUGCCGAUGGCCGCCGCCCGCCUGGGCUGGCCCCGCGUGGGCUCCUCGGUUCUGUUCCUGUGCGAUCUCCAGGAGCGGUUCCGCGACUCCAUCGUCGCCUUCCCGCAGAUCGUGGCCGUGGCCGCGCGCAUGCUGCAGGUGGGGACGCCGGAACGGCCCCAAAUCGCCCCAAAAAUAACCCUAAAACACCCUCAGAAAUAUCCCAAAACCAUCCCCUAAAUACCCCGAAAACAGCAAAAAAAACCACCCCGAAAACAGCCCCAAAACACCCCAAAACCACCCUAAAAACACCCCCGAAAUCACCCCAAAAAUAACCCUAAAACCACCCUAAAAUCAUCCCCAAAAUACCCCCAA
rnacentral:lncRNA from 1 species